rnacentral:ribozyme from 15 species
UGAAAUAAAACUAAUAACUGUUUAAGGAAAAAAGAAAAUAUCUCAAGUAUAUGUCAUUUAUAACUUCAGGCCGCGUGUUCUCUUGCUCGGAUUUGCCGCUUUUUUUCUUUCUGACCACUCCCAAGGG